rnacentral:rRNA from 1 species
UGCUCCUUGUGGUUAAGAUAAGGAGUCUGAUCUGCCCAAUGAUUAAUUUGAAUGGCCGCGGUAUUUUGACUGUGCGAAGGUAGCAUAAUCAAUUGUCCCAUAAUUCGGGUCUGGAAUGAAUGAUUUAAUGAGAGGGACACUGUUUCUUUUCGAAGAAUGAAUUUUUAAGGCAGGUGAAGAUACCUGUAUAUUUUUAAAAGACGAGAAGACCCUAUAAAGUUUUAUAUUGUUGAUGAUAUUUUUAUCGUUUACUAUAUUUAGUUGGGGCAACUGUAGAAUAAUACAAACUUCUUAUUUAAUAAAAUAUCCGUGAUUAAAUUUGAUUAAAAUGAUCCAAAAUUUUGAUUUUUAGAAAAAAUUACUUUAGGGAUAACAGCGUAAUCCGUUUUUAGAGUUCUUAUCGAUGGGCGGGAUUGCGACCUCGAUGUUGGAUUAAGAUACCUUAUUUAAUGUAGGCGUUAUUAGGGGUAGUCUGUUCGACUA